rnacentral:lncRNA from 1 species
CUUUUAUUUAGCUAGUUUCCUCGGCAGGUUUGGCCGCUGGCUGGUCUCUGCCCCUCUAUGGACCCGGGAUGCCUCUCGCACCUCGGUGCCUCCUGCAGCCCCCACAUCACCCCAUGCCCUGCGCGCUGCACAGAGCGUGCCCGCACGAGCCACAGCCUCUGCCCUUCGUGGCCUCGCUUGACCUGGCUGUCCCGGGCACCCGGAGCCACCAAGGCUGCCCCCAGCCCAGUCCGGAGCUGGCCUGUCUCCCAGCCCAGUUUCCUUCCCUGAGCUUUAGGACGGGUCCCGCCCGGGGCUUGGAAGCCCACAACCCUGCGGCAGCAAAAGGCAAAGGGCGGGAGGAGAGCUACAAAGGAGGCCGGUGGCCGCAGCCAGAGUCAGCCCCCAGCCGUGGGUAACCUUGGAGGCGCCCUCGAGUGAGUGUGAGCGCGGAGAUCGUGGCUAGCCGGCGCACCCGGAGGGGCGGGAGGAGGGAGCUGGGAGUUGGGAAAGGGGAACCGCUCCCCAAGAACCCCAGGAGUUGUGGGCGACCACAGCAGCCAGCUCCAGGUGCUGGCCCCGGGGCAGCCCUCCCGCUGGGUAAAGUUGGCCCCGGGGCUGCGGCUGGAGGGCAGUGCGCGAGCUGAGGAGAGCAGGCCGGUGAGUUCCUGGCUGGCCGCGGAGGUGAGCUGGCGGCCGGAGCCGCGGGCGCGCUGCACCACUCGGUGCCCUACUCAGAGUAGCUCUCCCUUCCUCCCCUGGCGAUGACAGCUGAGGACAGCCGGGCUUCCCAGCCAGGCGUCCAACUGCUAAGAAGACAAAUUCUUCUCUGGCUUUUUACCGUCUUGGACUGUUCACAAAACUGCCCCAAGGUUUUGCUUUUCCUCCGUAGUAUACUAGACAUCCGGAACCGAAAAUACACCUUCUUCAUUCAAAAAGACCCCAGCCUGAGCGGUGACCUUCAGGGCUGGGGUGUGCAGAACACCUAGGAUUAUGGGGGUUUUUUGUUUGUUUGUUUGGUUGGUUGGUUUUUUUGUUUUGUUUUUUGUGGGUUUUCUCUUUUUUCUUUCUUCUUUCUUUUUCUUUUUUUCAAUCUUCAGCGGUGCCUCAAAAGAACCCCCCUUUUCUCCCAACCCCCAGAUCUGUAUAUAGACCUGGUAAAUUAAGAUUCCAGGGAAAUAUUUUGCCAUCUGUGCAGAGACACUGUGUGGACUUUAGGUGUUAGGAUGUGGUUUUGGAAUUUUCUGUGCUGUCUUUAACUCUCAGUAGACAUUAAAAUAACAGCUUGGUCUCGGCCAGCAAGUGAGCAAAGGUUAUCCCAGCUACCACAGCACCUGCAGAAGCACAAGUGGAACUCACACAUUUUGCUUCCCGUGUUCUAAAAUGGAUUCUGAGCCAUCCAGAGAAAUCCGCACAGAGGGGAACCUGAGAACAGAGGUGUACAUAUUAAAAAUUACACAGGUGAGCUCCUUUUCACUGAUGAUCCAGAGAGGAUGUGAGUUAAAAUCUUAGAACCGAAAGCACCGAACAGCUCCUACUUCUGCCUGAUUCUCUUGAAAGACCUUGUAGCAUAAUCUAAGGUCAGCAAAUGAAGUUUCUGGCUACCAACAUAAAAGAACUUUAAGAAUCAGUUCCCUGUAGGGAAAAAUAACAUCUCAAAAUAAAAGGAUGGAAAUAGCACACAUUUUUUUAAGCAGAAAAUAUUAUACAGAGGAUCAAGCAACAGAAUAUACUGAAGAAAAAUAAGAUCAAAGCAUUGGACAUAAAAAACAACCUCCAGAAUGACAAUGAUAUUAAAUCAGCUAACAGAAAUGUCACCUCUCACAAAUUCACAAAAUUCAUUUACUGAUUUGAAGAAAAGGAUUUCCAAGAAAAACUAUUUAAAUCUCCUUCCUUUAGAUCAAAAGAUUACUGGAAAGCAACAUGAAUAUCCGGAAAAAAAAAAAUCCAGUGGUCUCUGUGUGGGUCUCUGACAGCAAUUUUUUAAAGAUUUCUGAGAUUGUUUCAAUGUAAUUGUGCAUAUAUUAGCAUUUUGAAAAGGUUCUCCAUAAAACCUUGGAUUAUACAGAAUUGUGUCAUCAUUUGCAGACUAAUAAAUUAUGUACACAUAAGAGACA